rnacentral:rRNA from 1 species
UGAGGAAUAUUGGUCAAUGGGCGGGAGCCUGAACCAGCCAAGCCGCGUGAGGGAAGACGGCCCUACGGGUUGUAAACCUCUUUUGUCGGGGAGCAAAGGCGGUCACGUGUGGCCGGAUGAGAGUACCCGAAGAAAAAGCAUCGGCUAACUCCGUGCCAGCAGCCGCGGUAAUACGGAGGAUGCGAGCGUUAUCCGGAUUUAUUGGGUUUAAAGGGUGCGCAGGCGGCACUGCAAGUCAGCGGUCAAAAUGCGGGGCUCAGCCCCGUCGAGCCGUUGAAACUGCAGGUCCUUGCAUGUGCGCGAGAAGUAUGCGGAAUGCGUGGUGUAGCGGUGAAAUGCAUAGAUAUCACGCAGAACUCCGAUUGCGAAGGCAGCAUACCGGCGCGCAACUGACGCUCAUGCACGAAAGCGUGGGUAUCGAACAGGAUUAGAUACC